UACGGGGGGGGCAAGCGUUGUUCGGAAUUACUGGGCGUAAAGGGCUCGUAGGCGGCCAACUAAGUCAGACGUGAAAUCCCUCGGCUUAACCGGGGAACUGCGUCUGAUACUGGAUGGCUUGAGAUUGGGAGAGGGAUGCGGAAUUCCAGGUGUAGCGGUGAAAUGCGUAGAUAUCUGGAGGAACACCGGCGGCGAAGGCGGCAUCCUGGACCAACACUGACGCUGAGGAGCGAAAGCCAGGGGAGCAAAGCGGG
rnacentral:rRNA from 1 species